rnacentral:rRNA from 1 species
UACGUAGGGUGCAAGCGUUGUCCGGAAUUAUUGGGCGUAAAGAGCUCGUAGGCGGUUUGUCGCGUCGAAUGUGAAAACCCGGGGCUCAACUCCGGGCCUGCAUUCGAUACGGGCAGACUAGAGUUCGGUAGAGGAGACUGGAAUUCCUGGUGUAGCGGUGAAAUGCGCAGAUAUCAGGAGGAACACCGGUGGCGAAGGCGGGUCUCUGGGCCGAUACUGACGCUGAGGAGCGAAAGCGUGGGGAGCGAACAGG